rnacentral:rRNA from 1 species
AUAUUGGACAAUGGGCGAAAGCCUGAUCCAGCCAUGCCGCGUGAGUGAUGAAGGCCUUAGGGUUGUAAAGCUCUUUCAGUGGGGAAGAUAAUGACGGUACCCACAGAAGAAGCCCCGGCUAACUGCGUGCCAGCAGCCGCGGUAAUACGAAGGGGGCUAGCGUUGUUCGGAUUUACUGGGCGUAAAGCGCACGUAGGCGGAUCGUUAAGUCGGGGGUGAAAUCCUGGAGCUCAACUCCAGAACUGCCUUCGAUACUGGCGAUCUUGAGUCCGAGAGAGGUGAGUGGAACUCCUAGUGUAGAGGUGGAAUUCGUAGAUAUUAGGAAGAACACCAGUGGCGAAGGCGGCUCACUGGCUCGGUACUGACGCUGAGGUGCGAAAGCGUGGGGAGCAAACAGG